rnacentral:rRNA from 1 species
GACGAACGCUGGCGGCGUGCUUAACACAUGCAAGUCGAACGGAAAGGCCCUGCUUUUGUGGGGUGCUCGAGUGGCGAACGGGUGAGUAACACGUGAGUAACCUGCACUUGACUUUGGGAUAACUUCAGGAAACUGGGGCUAAUACCGGAUAGGAGCUCCUGCUGCAUGGUGGGGGUUGGAAAGUUUCGGCGGUUGGGGAUGGACUCGCGGCUUAUCAGCUUGUUGGUGGGGUAGUGGCUUACCAAGGCUUUGACGGGUAGCCGGCCUGAGAGGGUGACCGGCCACAAUGGGACUGAGGUACGGCGCAGACGCCUACGGGAGGCAACAGUGGAGAAUAUGGCACAAUGAGCGGAAGCCAGAUGCAGCAACGCCGCGUGCGGGAUAACGUCCUUCGGGUGGUAAACCGCUUUCGCCUGUGACGAAGCGUGAGUGACGGUAAUGGGUAAAGAAGCACCGGCUAACUACGUG